GAAGCAGCAGCAGUCACUGCAGCAGCAGCAGCACCGGUAGCAGCGUCAGCACCAUCAGCAGAAGCCUCACCAGAACCAGCCACAGCAACUGUAGUAGCAACAGCACCAGCCCCUGCAACAGCAGUAGCUUCAGCACCGUCAGCAGAACCAUCAGCAGCAGCAAGAACAGCAUCAGGACCCGUAUCUACAGCAACAACGGCAGCAGCAGCUGAUGCAACUCCAGCAACAGAAGCAGCUGCGGUUACAGAACAAACGCACAGACAGGUGAGCGUGGACCAAGCAUAACACCGGGCUUCUGAUGAUAGUGUGGCACGAGAUGGCAUCGGACACACACACCGCAUCACGUGGUGUGGCACGAGAUGGCAUCGGACACACACACACCGCAUCACGUGGUGUGGCACGAGAUGGCAUCGGACACACACACACACCGCAUCACGUGGGGUGGCACGAGAUGGCAUCGGACACACACACACACCGCAUCACGUGGGGUGGCACGAGAUGACAUCGGACACACACACGCACGUGGGGUGGCACGAGAUGACAUUGGACACACACACACACCGCAUCACGUAGUGUGGCACGAGAUGACAUCGUACACACACACGUGGGGUGGCACGAGAUGACAUCGUACACACACACACACCGCAUCACGUGGGGUGGCACGAGAUGACAUCGGACACACAGACACAUACGUGGUGUGGCACGAGAUGGCAUCGGAGACACACCGCAUCACGUGGGGUGGCGCGAGAUGGCAUCGGAGACACUCCGCAGCACGUGCAGGGAUUGAAUGGACCUCAGCUAAAUAAAUUUUUGUGUUUUACA